AUACGUAGGUGGCGAGCGUUGUCCGGAAUUACUGGGUGUAAAGGGCGCGUUAGACGGGUGCGUAAGUCAGAUGUGAAAUACCGGGGCUCAACUCCGGGGCUGCAUUUGAAACUAUGUAUCUUGAGUGCAGGAGAGGUAAGUGGAAUUCCUAGUGUAGCGGUGAAAUGCGUAGAUAUUAGGAGGAACACCAGUGGCGAAGGCGACUUACUGGACUGUAACUGACACUGAGGCAACGAAAGCGUGGGGAGC
rnacentral:rRNA from 1 species